rnacentral:ncRNA from 1 species
UUAUGACUUAAGAGGCAACUCUUAACUGGCCAGGUAAGGAAAAGCCGAGAGGUUCAAGCUUACAGGGCAGAAAACUCUGGAAAGUAGCGCUUAACAUACCAGGGUGGCGGGUUCGGCGGUAGCGCAUACAACGACGAACCAA